rnacentral:rRNA from 1 species
UACGUAGGUCCCGAGCGUUGUCCGGAUUUAUUGGGCGUAAAGGGAACGCAGGCGGUCUUUUAAGUCUGAUGUGAAAGCCUUCGGCUUAACCGGAGUAGUGCAUUGGAAACUGGGAGACUUGAGUGCAGAAGAGGAGAGUGGAACUCCAUGUGUAGCGGUGAAAUGCGUAGAUAUAUGGAAGAACACCAGUGGCGAAAGCGGCUCUCUGGUCUGUAACUGACGCUGAGGUUCGAAAGCGUGGGUAGCAAACAGG